rnacentral:rRNA from 1 species
UGGGGAAUUUUGGACAAUGGGCGAAAGCCUGAUCCAGCAAUGCCGCGUGUGUGAAGAAGGCCUUCGGGUUGUAAAGCACUUUUGUCCGGAAAGAAAUCCUUGGCUCUAAUACAGUCGGGGGAUGACGGUACCGGAAGAAUAAGCACCGGCUAACUACGUGCCAGCAGCCGCGGUAAUACGUAGGGUGCAAGCGUUAAUCGGAAUUACUGGGCGUAAAGCGUGCGCAGGCGGUUUGCUAAGACCGAUGUGAAAUCCCCGGGCUCAACCUGGGAACUGCAUUGGUGACUGGCAGGCUAGAGUAUGGCAGAGGGAGGUAGAAUUCCACGUGUAGCAGUGAAAUGCGUAGAGAUGUGGAGGAAUACCGAUGGCGAAGGCAGCCCCCUGGGCCAAUACUGACGCUCAUGCACGAAAGCGUGGGGAGCAAACAGGAUUAGAUACCCUGGUAGUCCACGCCCUAAACGAUGUCAACUAGUUGUUGGGGAUUCAUUUCCUUAGUAACGUAGCUAACGCGUGAAGUUGACCGCCUGGGGAGUACGGUCGCAAGAUUAAAACUCAAAGGAAUUGACGGGGUCAUAGCUGUUUCCU